GUGAACUUGUGAGAGCAUUUCUGCCCAGGAAAAACAAAGCCUUCUACACAACACACAGAGCAUACUGUGCCUCUCAGGCCUUGUGGCCUGCUCUGUGGUCCUUCUCAGCUGCUACUGGCUUCCUGACCACCACCAAGUAAGCAGCUUUGCUCUUCCACCAAGAUGUUCUGUCUUACUUCAGACCCCCAGAAAUAGAACUAGCCAGCCAUGGACUGAAACCUCUGAAACCAUGAGCCAAAUAAACUAUAUCCUUCUUUGAGCUGUGUAUGUCAGACAAUUUGUCCCAGCAAUGGGAAAGCUGGCCAUUCACCGGGGAAGACUCUUAACUUUUCUGAUUCUCUGUCUCAUCCAUUUAUAAAAUGAUAUGUGAAGAAGGAGGAGUGGCCACAUGAAAGAGAUGUGAAGAUGGUAUCUCUUAUCAAAAUGAAAACAUUAAAUGGUCUGAAAUGAAAUUCUUGUGAGCCCAAGAAAAUCUACAGAAAGUUCAUCUGUAAUCCAGAAAAUUAAAAUUCUCUGAAGUAGUCUAAGUGAGAAUGGCUCUUUUUGGACAUGGCAAAUCAUCCUUCAAGUCUACCUUUUCCAGAGACUUAAGUCUUUCCUGUAACAGUGUCCUCCACUUUGAGACUCUGAUAAGGAGAGGUGAAGGUUGGUCAGUUACACUAGUCAGAGUUUAGCAUUGCCUGAUCAUUUUGUAUUCAAUGAAGGCCUUGAUAUGAAAGACAACAGCAUGGUACUUCUCCAGGAGACCUUGGCCUAGUUCAAGGCAAAAGGGAAGAAGCUGAUAACAGAUCUGGCAAGCGAACUACUGGGAUCUGUCAGAAUAUGACCAAUUCAGACAAGCCUAUCAGCAGGCCAGCAAGGUCUCGGUAGCUGAAGCUUGAUCCAGACCUCACAGGCUAGUAUGCUUUUUGGGUAACCUUGUUUAUCCAUAAUGCUCAGCAAAGAGAGGAUCACUGUUUGUCUUUUUCAUAGAUAGAAAACCCACUGCUGCUUUAAAGCAGCCUGCUCUUCAAAACAGAAUAAUUGAUCUCAGAAUGGAUAUACGUUUUAUCUUUGUUACAUAAAUUGAAUCAUAGCAUGCAUACCAUAAGUGUAUGCCACCUAAUAAAUAUAUCAUAGGUAUGUUUCAGUGUUAAUACAUCUUCAUUCAUUUUAAUGACAACAUGAAAUUCAAUUGCAUAGUUGUAAGAACUGAGUUCUUUUUAGAUUUAGAAUAUAAGAUACUGCAGUAUACAUGACAGCAUAUCACAAAAUGUGUCACAAAAUGUGAUCUUGGGGUCUUGGGUUGUAGACAUGUAUGAGAGACAAUACAAAAGAAUCAGCGUUUGCGGAGAGAGGAGCAAAGGUUAUGGAUAGAUAACAACUGGCUACAGAGGCUCCCUGAGAUAGUCAACUUAGAAUUCAACAUAAUACAGAGUGGGGAGCCCCAAACAGAGGGAAAUGAAUUCUCUUGUCCCAAGAAGAAAAUAAAUUGAGAAGAGCCAACCAAACACACAGUCCCAUGCUAUUAUUGGAACAACUAAAGGUUCAGUGUUCCCGCUACAGCAGGUGACUUGCUGACCAUCCGAGGUCUGGCUGAAACUUGCUGAGGUCCUGCCAUGACUUGCCGAGGUCCCACAGUGACUUGCCAACUUGUCCGAGGUCCUGCCACUUGGACUCACUGGAGGCACAGUUACAUUGAGUUUGGAGAUUGGUGAGCCAAAUGGAAAGCUGAGUUGGCAGGGUGCCUACAUCGACAGACAGCCAUGAAUUUGUGGUAACCUGGUCAAAAGGGGUGAUCCAGAAGAUUCAAAGGGAUUACCAGGAAAUUAAAAACUCUAUGGAAAGACAGCAAAUCAGCUUGAAAGGAACUAAGGAUAGAUUAUACAAACUGGAGGACAAUUUUGCAAUGUGGGAGUAUGAAAGGGAAAACUUUUUAAAAAUAACAAGGAAACAAGCAGUAACAAUACAAAGGCUAGAAGAUGACAAGAGGAUCUAUAACUUGAGAAUAAAGAAUGUGAAUGAAGAAGCUGGGGUACAAACAAAGGAACUACAAAGGUUAUUCACAGAAAUAAUUAAGGAAAACUUCCCAAACAUAGGAAAAGGAAAUGAUAUUCUGAUAUAUGAGGCAUACAGAACUCCAGCACCUACAACCAAAACAGAACUAAACCCAGGCAUAUAAUAAUCAAUAUCCCAGAAAUUCAGUAUAAGAACAGAAUAUUAAAAGCUAUUAGAGACAAGAAACAGAUCACCUAUAGAGGAAGGCCCAUCAGAAUAAUGACAGACUUCUCAACACAAACCAUCAAGAAGAGCCUGGAGCGAAAUAUUCCAAGCCCUGAAAGAAAAUAACCUCCAGCCCAGAUUGAUAUACCCUGCUAAACUGUCUCUAGAAAUUAAUGGAGAAACGAGAUGCUUCCAAGACAAAGAGGAACUUGGGAAAUUCGCAACCACCAAUCCAACUCUACAGAGAAUAGUGCAGGGCAUUCUAGAGAGAGAGAAAAGUACUAGGAUUCCAGGAAUAGUGGCAGAGAAUGGAGCAGAAAACAGAAUGAAGAAGAUAAGCAGACAACUGAUGGCAAAAAAAGAGCAUAACAGAAAUGAGGUAGAGAAGAUUUUAUUCAAAACUGAUAUGAUUGAUAGUAUCAAGUCUGAGAGUAUAGGCAACUACACUGAAGAUGACAGUAUUCUACGAUACACAUUCUGGUUUGAUAACUGCCAGUUUUUGAAGUGCUAUACUAUAUACAAAGUUUUGUUUUUAUUAAUACUGUUAUAUACCGAUAUAUUCAAUUAUACUAUGUCCAAUGAUAUAGCCAAUUCUAUUGGAGAUAACAAGAGACAACACAGGAACCAUGGUAGCUCUUUGUACAAUGGUCUUACAUGUUUUUCUUGAUUUCCUGUGUUUAUAGGAAUAUGUUUUUUUGUCUUGUUUUGUUUUGUUUCUCCCUCUAAUAUAGAAAGGAUAGAAAUACAUGUUAAGACUCAUGCAUGUGUAGAAUCUAUAAACAGUUUGUGAGAACUGAUCUUACGACACAUGAUGAAAUGAACAGAUACUUUGAAGAAAAAGAGACACUAAAGUACCCAGUGCUGAUCCUGGAGGGUCAUAAUGUGAAACCCAGCAAUAGUACUAUUCUUUGUUCAGAGUGAUAUUAGACUCCUUGGGUUUGUUCACUCUCAAUAUAAUUGAAGAUAUGGAUAACUGCAUGUAUGUUUAAGUGUAUAGGAUUGAUAAUCAUAUUUCUAGUUUUUGUUGGACAGUUGAACAGAACUGGUUGAAAUCUCACUGUUUGAAUCCCCACUUUACAUGUUCCAUUUUUGUAUCUUGAACAACUAUUUGUAAAACGACAAUAUGUAAACAUCAACUAGUGAUUUAAAAAAAAAGAAUCAGCAUUUGCUUUUAUCAAUACUGAA